rnacentral:lncRNA from 1 species
AUUUCUCUUCGUUUCUUUCUUUCUGUUUCUUUUUGUUUUCUUGGAGCAAAUUGGAUUGGAUUAGAUUGUGUAUUUGCGUGGCAUUUGUGAUUGUGUGGUUGUGAGCGUGAUGAUGUUCACGAUGUCACGUCCCCUUUUGCCCAGUUGCUGCUGCUGCUUCUUAUUCCUUCCUUUAAAGCUGCGUUUAGCAUCCAUCGGUCUCAUCUUUUUCGCUUUUUGAUUUUUUCCUCUCUUUUGAUUUGAUCAGCUUGUGGUGAUGGUGACAGUCUUCACUUGAGCUGCAGCUCAGCUCAGCUCGGUUCUUGGCCACUCUCGCUUUGCUUUGCUGACGACGUGUUGCUGACCGUGGUCGUGUCUGCUUGUUGCUUUGCUUUGCUGUUCUUGGUUGGCGAGAGAAGCGGAUCUUGCGGCGGCGGCGUGGCGGCGGCUGCAAUGCGGAGGCGCGGCGGCGAGGUAGAGGACGGCGGCGUGGUGGUGGUGAGGCUGGACAGGAUCCGGAAGCGGGGGGCGCUGUCGUCGUCGGGCGCGUCGAGCGCGGCGAGGGCGAAGCUCAGGUCAAGGAGCCCGGCGGUGCUGCUGCGGCGGGGUGGCGCGGGAGGGG